rnacentral:tRNA from 1 species
UCCCUGGUGGCUCAGACGGUAAAGCGUCUGCCUGCAACACGGGAGACCCAGGUUCGAUCCCUGGGUCGGGAA